rnacentral:lncRNA from 1 species
CACUCAAUGGAAUCCGCUGUAAAAUGUUUAUUGUUAAUAGUUAAUGAAGAUUUUUUGAAAAUAAUCAUUUUAUUUCACAGAUUUUAUAUUGUGAUAAUCCACUAUAUGUAGCUUAAAAGUAGAAAUAUAAUCAUUUCAAUAUCAUGUAUUCUUUAUUUAGUAGGUAGUUUUGAUGGGCUAAGGAUCAAAAUUUGUGUUUUAUAUAUAAAAAGUGAUAGUUUUGGAAAUGAAACAAAAUAUGACAAGAUUUAGAAAUAGGAAGUUAUUCUAUGAUAUUAUUUUUUAUUAUUUUGUUUUCCUUGUUAUAUAAGGGUAUUUCUUUAUUUUAUAAAUCAGUGUUCUGUUUAUCAUGUUUAUAAUAUACUCUAUAUCUCACAUAGCUUUGUCAUUUUCUUUUGUCCACAGUUGGAGUAGAAACAGAAAGUGGGGUAUUCUUCUAUAUGGUGUUUCCACCCCAGUGUUUAAAAUGUAUUUAUUAUCAACAGAACUGAAAAUAUGUUAGAUUAGAGUGAAAGUACUGGACUAAUCAUGAUUGACAUGUUGAAGUUCGAUUAGAAUGGAAGUACUGGACUAAUCAUGAUUGACAUGUUGAAGUUAGAUUAGAGUGAAAGUACUGGACUAAUCAUGAUUGACAUGUUGAAGUAACAAAGUGUAUCUAAGUUGAAGUGUAGGAAAACACAUUGUGUUCAUUGUAAGACAAUCAUUGUCAUCUAUCAAAACAACCAUAGGUCUUCUUUUGUUUAUGAAUAGAUUGGUUAUCAUCUGUCUCUUAGCAGUAAUGAGGUAUAGAAAGUCACUAUAAAAAGAAAUUUUGUAACCAGCAUUAAUGAGAUGAUAUCUUUUAAUCAUUAUUAUGUUUCUGGCUAUCAUCUGUCUCUUAUAAGUACUAAGAUGCAGAAAGUCAUCAUAGAAAGGGAUAUGUAUAAAAGCAUUAACAUUACAACUAAACAUCUUUUAGUCAUUUUUAUGUUUCUAGUCUUAUUUAUCCAAUGUAGCUUUGUUAUGCUUAUAUUUUGUGAUAUAUUCAAUUAAAC